rnacentral:rRNA from 1 species
CUGUGAGCUCGAUGAGUAGGGCGGGACACGUGGUAUCCUGUCUGAAUAUGGGGGGACCAUCCUCCAAGGCUAAAUACUCCUGACUGACCGAUAGUGAACCAGUACCGUGAGGGAAAGGCGAAAAGAACCCCGGCGAGGGGAGUGAAAAAGAACCUGAAACCGUGUACGUACAAGCAGUGGGAGCACGCUUAGGCGUGUGACUGCGUACCUUUUGUAUAAUGGGUCAGCGACUUAUAUUCUGUAGCAAGGUUAACCGAAUAGGGGAGCCGAAGGGAAACCGAGUCUUAACUGGGCGUUAAGUUGCAGGGUAUAGACCCGAAACCCGGUGAUCUAGCCAUGGGCAGGUUGAAGGUUGGGUAACACUAACUGGAGGACCGAACCGACUAAUGUUGAAAAAUUAGCGGAUGACUUGUGGCUGGGGGUGAAAGGCCAAUCAAACCGGGAGAUAGCUGGUUCUCCCCGAAAGCUAUUUAGGUAGCGCCUCGUGAAUUCAUCUCCGGGGGUAGAGCACUGUUUCGGCAAGGGGGUCAUCCCGACUUACCAACCCGAUGCAAACUGCGAAUACCGGAGAAUGUUAUCACGGGAGACACACGGCGGGUGCUAACGUCCGUCGUGAAGAGGGAAACAACCCAGACCGCCAGCUAAGGUCCCAAAGUCAUGGUUAAGUGGGAAACGAUGUGGGAAGGCCCAGACAGCCAGGAUGUUGGCUUAGAAGCAGCCAUCAUUUAAAGAAAGCGUAAUAGCUCACUGGUCGAGUCGGCCUGCGCGGAAGAUGUAACGGGGCUAAACCAUGCACCGAAGCUGCGGCAGCGACGCUUAUGCGUUGUUGGGUAGGGGAGCGUUCUGUAAGCCUGCGAAGGUGUGCUGUGAGGCAUGCUGGAGGUAUCAGAAGUGCGAAUGCUGACAUAAGUAACGAUAAAGCGGGUGAAAAGCCCGCUCGCCGGAAGACCAAGGGUUCCUGUCCAACGUUAAUCGGGGCAGGGUGAGUCGACCCCUAAGGCGAGGCCGAAAGGCGUAGUCGAUGGGAAACAGGUUAAUAUUCCUGUACUUGGUGUUACUGCGAAGGGGGGACGGAGAAGGCUAUGUUGGCCGGGCGACGGUUGUCCCGGUUUAAGCGUGUAGGCUGGUUUUCCAGGCAAAUCCGGAAAAUCAAGGCUGAGGCGUGAUGACGAGGCACUACGGUGCUGAAGCAACAAAUGCCCUGCUUCCAGGAAAAGCCUCUAAGCAUCAGGUAACAUCAAAUCGUACCCCAAACCGACACAGGUGGUCAGGUAGAGAAUACCAAGGCGCUUGAGAGAACUCGGGUGAAGGAACUAGGCAAAAUGGUGCCGUAACUUCGGGAGAAGGCACGCUGAUAUGUAGGUGAAGUCCCUCGCGGAUGGAGCUGAAAUCAGUCGAAGAUACCAGCUGGCUGCAACUGUUUAUUAAAAACACAGCACUGUGCAAACACGAAAGUGGACGUAUACGGUGUGACGCCUGCCCGGUGCCGGAAGGUUAAUUGAUGGGGUCAGCGCAAGCGAAGCUCUUGAUCGAAGCCCCGGUAAACGGCGGCCGUAACUAUAACGGUCCUAAGGUAGCGAAAUUCCUUGUCGGGUAAGUUCCGACCUGCACGAAUGGCGUAAUGAUGGCCAGGCUGUCUCCACCCGAGACUCAGUGAAAUUGAACUCGCUGUGAAGAUGCAGUGUACCCGCGGCAAGACGGAAAGACCCCGUGAACCUUUACUAUAGCUUGACACUGAACAUUGAGCCUUGAUGUGUAGGAUAGGUGGGAGGCUUGGAAGUGUGGACGCCAGUCUGCAUGGAGCCGACCUUGAAAUACCACCCUUUAAUGUUUGAUGUUCUAACGUUGACCCGUAAUCCGGGUUGCGGACAGUGUCUGGUGGGUAGUUUGACUGGGGCGGUCUCCUCCUAAAGAGUAACGGAGGAGCACGAAGGUUGGCUAAUCCUGGUCGGACAUCAGGAGGUUAGUGCAAUGGCAUAAGCCAGCUUGACUGCGAGCGUGACGGCGCGAGCAGGUGCGAAAGCAGGUCAUAGUGAUCCGGUGGUUCUGAAUGGAAGGGCCAUCGCUCAACGGAUAAAAGGUACUCCGGGGAUAACAGGCUGAUACCGCCCAAGAGUUCAUAUCGACGGCGGUGUUUGGCACCUCGAUGUCGGCUCAUCACAUCCUGGGGCUGAAGUAGGUCCCAAGGGUAUGGCUGUUCGCCAUUUAAAGUGGUACGCGAGCUGGGUUUAGAACGUCGUGAGACAGUUCGGUCCCUAUCUGCCGUGGGCGCUGGAGAACUGAGGGGGGCUGCUCCUAGUACGAGAGGACCGGAGUGGACGCAUCACUGGUGUUCGGGUUGUCAUGCCAAUGGCACUGCCCGGUAGCUAAAUGCGGAAGAGAUAAGUGCUGAAAGCAUCUAAGCACGAAACUUGCCCCGAGAUGAGUUCUCCCUGACUCCUUGAGAGUCCUGAAGGAACGUUGAAGACGACGACGUUGAUAGGCCGGGUGUGUAAGCGCAGCGAUGCGUUGAGCUAACCGGUACUAAUGAACCGUGAGGCUUAACCUUACAACGCCGAAG